AUGCCGAGGCACCCUGACAGGUCACAGGUACGCGGGAGCGGAAGCUGCAGCCCAGAAACCGGAGGGUGCCAGUCGCACCCAUCCUUCAGGCCUCCUUCCCUCCCGGCCCCAGGAGCGCAGGCUCGGAGCUCGGCUCCCGCCCGCCGCUCGCCUUUGUCGCCGGCUCGGUGCGCGGCCGCGGGCUCCCGCGGCGGGCUUUGUUCGGGAGGAGCAGGCCAGGACCCCUCGCGCCGCCGCGUCCCCGCCCUCCCCGCGCCGAGGACGGUGGGGGUGGGGACUGCGCGACCGGGACCUGGACCCAAGGAGCGUCCGAGCGCGCCUCGGAGCCGGGAACUCGCUCCUUCGCCCCUUUUCGUAAUUGAGCUGUUGUCCGCUCGGCUAGGGGGCCGGGCUGAGCAGAAGGAGGGCGAGGGGGGUGCGCGUCCUCAGCCUGCAGCCCCGGCUGGGCGCGGCUCCCCGGGCGCCCGUGGACUCGUGCUGCCGCGUGCGCGCGUGCCAGGCUGGAUGGACGCACGCGCGCAUGGACGAGGCGGGCCGUCGGACUGGGUCCCAGGUCCUAGGCUGCUCUGGCCGAGGUUUUCGCAGCUGCAGAAUCCCGCCAUUCAAGGACAGACGCCGCUUGUCCUCUCUGCCAGGGACGGCAGUGGAGAACGAAAUGCCUGGAUAUGUGCGCUCACCGAGUGUGCUGAAAAUGUAGCUUCGGACCAGAAGAGCCAAAGAGACGAGACUUUUCACUAAGUGAUACUUUUGAUGCAAUCGAAGGAUUGGCAAACUGACUUGUUGCCCAUUUUUACAAAUAAAGUUUUAUUGGCACAGAGUCAUGCCCACCUUUAGUGUAUUGUCUCUGCUUGGUUAUCACAGCAAGUGCCAAGAUAGGGACCACAUGGUCUGCCAAGCUUAGAAC
rnacentral:lncRNA from 1 species